GUGAAGAUGGUGACUGUGUUUGACAAGCUCUCCACGAACAGAGUCAUCCAGCCAAUGGGGAUGAGUUCCCUGGGUCGUUUUACAUCCAUGCAGAAUGCCAUGGGGGAGACUAUGGAGGAGCAGCUCUCCUCGGACCCUGACCGGGACACUGACUGAGGAUGGCAGCUCUUCUGCUCCCCCAUCAGAACUGGUUCUGUUCAUGAUUUGCCUCUGGUCAUUUUCUUAUCUCUAGACCUCAAUGGUCUUCUCGUGCUAGAAUGCAGGGCUCAGCCUUGAAUUCCGCAGCCGAAGUACUUUCUUUUGUCUGCACCAAGAGGAAUGUGUGCAGAAGCUGCUGCCUGAGGGCAGGGCCCACCUGGGCAGACAGAAGAGCAUGCAUAUGGGAGGGCAGAGGGUUGGGCAUGGUUGUGCACAGGGCAAGCACAUCUGGGAUUGGCAGGCUGGCCAGAGCUGGUGUUUUGGGGCAUGUGCUAAACUUCACAGAGAGAAAGAACCUGUCAGAGCUUUGCAUAUGAGUAUGUCAGAACAUACACUUCCAAGGUAUGCUCUGUUGUUUCUGUCCUGUCUUUACUGAGCGCAGGGCUGGAGGCCUCUUAGACGUUCUCCUUGGUUCUUGUUCAGCUGCCCACUGUAGUAUUCACUGUGCCCGAGUUCUUGCUGGUUCUGGCAAUUAAAUCUCAAUCCUUCCCACUGGCUUGGACUACACUUACAAGAAGGAAAAUGUCCCUUGUGUGACAGAUUGAGAUUUAUUCCAUAUACCACACAUAGGCACAGAAACAUCAUCCUGAAAGAAGAAGAGUUUUGAG